AAAUGAGGAAACUCAAGCUGUAAUCUCUAGGAAACCAGAAGGAAUACUAUAAUCAAAACAGGGAAGAGAGGAGAGGGUGUGGUGGAGAAUGGAGCUAACUUCUUUAUUCUUUACAAACACCAGAUGCAGCCUAUACACCAAGAAGCUGUCUUCAGGACACCUCCAGGACAAAAACCAGGAAUGCCUACAAGGGGUACUGCAGGAAAACGGGAAGAGAGAAGUGCUGGGAAUGCAGAUGGAAAUGAACUGAUGUCCAAGAAAUUACACACACACAAAUGACAACUCCUCUUUUGGCUCUGAGAAGGAAAAGCAGUGAAAGUGACACCAGGGUCAGCUCUGAGCGUUGGCCAAGUACCUGGCCAGGUGCCUAAGGAGAGUCCCAGUUUCUUUCAUAGGGAUUUGAAGCACAUGCUCAACAUUAUUG
rnacentral:lncRNA from 1 species